rnacentral:rRNA from 1 species
UGCCAGCAGCCGCGGUAAUACGGAAGGUGCGAGCGUUAAUCGGAAUUACUGGGCGUAAAGCGCACGUAGGCGGUUGGGUAAGUCGGAUGUGAAAGCCCUGGGCUUAACCUGGGAAUUGCAUUCGAUACUGCUCGACUCGAGUAUGGGAGAGGGUAGCGGAAUUCCGAGUGUAGCGGUGAAAUCCGUAGAUAUUCGGAGGAACACCAGUGGCGAAGGCGGCUAACUGGCUUGAUAUUGACGCUGAGGUGCGAAAGCGUGGGGAGCAAACAGGAUUAGAUA